AUAAUAUUUUUAUUAAUCUUUUUUAUGAAAUUGAAUGAGAGCAUAUAGAUAAUGGAGUUCGGCUUUGGUUACUAUUGGGCUUGGCUUUGGUUCCCUUGAUUUCGGACGUUUCAGUCAGUUUACUCGGCUUUCUCUGCAAUGGCCCAAGAACAAUUCAACCCAAAAUCCGUGCUUUGAAGUUUAAACUUCAAAGGUAUAUUUCAGCUCAACAGCUAAACAGAUGCAAUACAACCAAGAAAAACAAGGGGAAGAGACCAACGCGGCCUUUGUUCUCUUCAAUCACCACGAAAAGAUCACCUUUUUGUUACUUAUAAUAGAUAAAACCAAUUCUUUUUACCACAAAAAAUGAAAACCCAAAGCUUCCUCUGUCUAAAGAUUAGCCCAAAUUGAUUGGUGCUGCGAAUAUUGAAGAGAGUUGGUUUUGUCUUGAUUUCAUCGAUUAUGCAAAUACCCAGAUGGUGAAACGUGUUUCUACUCAAGAAUUCAUUGGUUCCAGCUUUCUUACCUUCAAAACCAACGGCUACUUUUGCAAAGACCCACGUUGCUCCAUUUCAUUCUACGCCUGGUACCUUUGAAAAAUGGAAGAGCAAAUGGAAUUUUGAUGAAAGAAGAGCACAACAAGCAAGUUAUGCAGCUUUGAGGGCGUCUAUUUGUAAUUACGUAAGAUAUGCAGUACAUCAAAAGCGAGCUGACACAAAGAGAGCUCUAAAAGACCUUCUCUUUAAUACCGGUUCCUCAAAUAUUUCAUUUCAGUAAGAGAUUAAAAACUAGCUACAUCUGGUUUCAAAGGAAGGUUUAGAAGAAAGAGUUUCUCUGAGGACUUUGAUCAUCCUGAGACAAUCUUGAAGCUACAUUUGGGAUCAAAUGGUAUACUUGGUCUUCUAGGGGAGAUUCUUCUUUUCAAAAUUCAGAAUCUGGAUUUGAGUGGAGAGAAAAAUCAGGCUGGACCAGUCAAAGUACAAAAGAGAAGAGUCUCCUAGUAAAAGAUGAGUCUUAUGCUGUAGGAUCAUGUUCUGAUAGUGCAAUCCUUGGUUUGCCUCCAAUGGGCCCCUUAAAGAUUGAAGAUGCUAAGAAUGCAUAAGACUUUAGUGCUUUCGCUCAACUUGAUUUUUGAGAGGCCUGUCACCUUAAAGAUUAGACAUAUUUAAGUUUUCCUUUGCUCCAAUUCUUUUUUAUGUAUAUAUUCUAAAAUUAUUAAAAUCAACUUGCAGCUUCCGCCUAUCAGCGUUAAAGUGGCAUCCUGAUAAGCAUCAAGGUCCUUCACAGGUGAUGGCUGAAGAGAAAUUUAAGCUCUGGGUUGAUGCAUACAAAUCAUUAUGUCAUGCUUUAGCCUGAGGUCGUUGGUGUUUUCAAAUGCUUACAGCUCCAAGUAAGUGGUCUCAGAGAAUAGCUACUACAAUCUAGAAUAGGUGUAUGAUUGAAUUAUUUUCUUAUCUAUUUUUAUCUUCUUCAUAGUCAAUUGUCUUCACUAAGUUGGCUCUUCCAAAAUUUUAGUUUUUGGCCCAACAAUUGACAAUGUGCCAUAAAUUAAAUUUUAAGGGAACAGGGAUUGUAAAACUUCAAUAUCAAAAAUCUUGAUGAUGAUUUCUUACUCAAAAACUUUCAUGGAAAUUGUUUAUGAUCUAAAUUUAAUUUUGCAACAUAAAAGGUAUACAUGCAUAUAUUCAUAAGGUUAAUCAGAAAACAGCCUGUAUUGAGUACUGGAUGGGUUUGGACUGUGAAUUACAGCAUGGAACUCCGGAGGGAAAUUUGCCUAAAAUGUCUUAUUAUUUCAUUUCCUUUUUUCUUUUUUACUUGUUCAGGAUCAUAUUUACCUUUCUUUUUUCCUUUGGAAAUAGCAUUUGGAUAUUAUUGCCCCUGAUAUGGUGAGAAAGGGAUUUGGCUUUUACAGGGAAUAUAGGGCCAAGGCAUCAAAAUCUUGCUUAAUUUCAAGGAGAAUUAUGAAGUAUUCCAAUUUUUUUUUACAAAAUCAAAAUUAUUAAAUUUAUACUCUUACCAUUUGUGAGCCCGAUAAU